rnacentral:rRNA from 1 species
UACAGAGGGUGCGAGCGUUAAUCGGAAUUACUGGGCGUAAAGCGCGCGUAGACGGUUUUGUAAGUCAGAUGUGAAAAUCCCUGGGCUCAACCUGGGAACUGCAUUUGAAACUGCAUGGCUAGAGUAUGGAAGAGGGAAGUGGAAUUUCCGGUGUAGCGGUGAAAAUGCGUAGAUAUCGGAAGGAACACCAGUGGCGAAAGCGACUUCCUGGUCCAAUACUGACGUUCAUGUGCGAAAGCGUGGGAGCAAACAGG